GGUUAAGUUAGAAAGGGCGCACGGUGGAUGCCUUGGCACUAGGAGCCGAAGAAGGACGGGACUAACACCGAUAUGCUUUGGGGAGCUGUACGUAAGCGUUGAUCCAGAGAUUUCCGAAUGGGGGAACCCACUAUCUUUAGUCGGAUAGUAUCCUUACGUGAAUACAUAGCGUGAGGAAGGCAGACCCAGGGAACUGAAACAUCUAAGUACCUGGAGGAAGAGAAAGAAAAAUCGAUUUCCUGAGUAGCGGCGAGCGAAACGGAAAGAGCCCAAACCAAGAAGCUUGCUUCUUGGGGUUGUAGGACACUCUAUACGGAGUUACAAAAGAAAGUUAUAAAUGAAGCGGUCUGGAAAGGCCCGCCAAAGACGGUAACAGCCCGGUAGUUGAAAUGGCUUUCCCUCCAGAGUGGAUCCUGAGUACGGCGGAACACGUGAAAUUCCGUCGGAAUCCGGGAGGACCAUCUCCCAAGGCUAAAUACUCCCUAGUGACCGAUAGUGAACCAGUACCGUGAGGGAAAGGUGAAAAGCACCCCGGAAGGGGAGUGAAACAGUUCCUGAAACCGUGUGCCUACAAGUAGUUAGAGCCCGUUAAUGGGUGAUAGCGUGCCUUUUGUAGAAUGAACCGGCGAGUUACGAUUUGUUGCAAGGUUAAGCGGAAAAAGCGGAGCCGUAGCGAAAGCGAGUCUGAAUAGGGCGCAUAAGUAACAGGUCGUAGACCCGAAACCAGGUGAUCUACCCAUGUCCAGGAUGAAGGUAAGGUAAUACUUACUGGAGGUCCGAACCCACGCACGUUGAAAAGUGCGGGGAUGAGGUGUGGGUAGCGGAGAAAUUCCAAUCGAACUUGGAGAUAGCUGGUUCUCUCCGAAAUAGCUUUAGGGCUAGCCUCGAGGUAAAGAGUCAUGGAGGUAGAGCACUGUUUGGACUAGGGGCCCUUCUCGGGUUACCGAAUUCAGAUAAACUCCGAAUGCCAUGUACUUAUACUCGGGAGUCAGACUGCGAGUGAUAAGAUCCGUAGUCGAAAGGGAAACAGCCCAGACCACCAGUUAAGGUCCCCAAAUAUAUGUUAAGUGGAAAAGGAUGUGGGGUUGCUUAGACAACCAGGAUGUUGGCUUAGAAGCAGCCACCAUUGAAAGAGUGCGUAAUAGCUCACUGGUCGAGUGACCCCGCGCCGAAAAUGUACCGGGGCUAAACAUAUUACCGAAACUGUGGAUGAACCUCUUUAGAGGUUCGUGGUAGGAGAGCGUUCUAAGGGCGGUGAAGUCA
rnacentral:rRNA from 1 species